CAUUUAUAUUAUUAUCCAUGCUUUCACUAACUGUCAACUCUCAUCCUUGUUUAGCGCAGAAAAGUAACAUUAAACUCACUUCGAGAUCAAGAUCCACCAUACAACCCUUUCACUGCAAUAGUUAAAUCCAGUCUACCAGACAGAACUCAUAAUUAUGGUCUGCGCAAUAAUAAUCCGGAAUUAACUUUCACCGAUAAUGUCUGAACGCUUUAGUUUGGGAACUUUUUGCCAUUCAAUAUAGUUAGGUUUUGAUGAAUACAUAUUUACAUAUUUUUAAAGUUUAAACACUUCCCGCACACGAGUGACACGACAUACUCCAACUUGGUCAAGGAUAUACUUUUAGUGUGGAUAUAUAUGCCAUGCACUUGGUCAGUCACACGCGAUUGCUCCUGCCAUAGUUCCUAAACUGCAU